rnacentral:rRNA from 1 species
UACGUAGGGGGCAAGCGUUGUCCGGAAUUAUUGGGCGUAAAGCGCGCGCAGGCGGUUGGUUAAGUUUGGUGUUUAAGCCCGAGGCUCAACCUCGGUUCGCAUCGAAAACUGGCCAACUUGUGUGUAGGAGAGGAAAGUGGAAUUCCACGUGUAGCGGUGAAAUUCGUAGAUAUUCGGAGGAACACCAGUGGCGAAGGCGGCUCACUGGUCCGGUACUGACGCUGAGGUGCGAAAGCGUGGGGAGCAAACAGG